rnacentral:rRNA from 1 species
AUGGGCUUGCGCUCAAAGGACACACACAGGGUUUUGCAAACAAAAAGGGGAAAUCAUUGUCACUUUUUCCUAUUGUGCAAAAAAAAAAAGAUUUUACACGAGAGCAAUAGAGGUUGGGGUCCACUUCUUACGAAUUUCUUGCAGUGA